GGCGUAGGCGGCCUGUCAAGUCGGAUGUGAAAUCUCCCGGCUUAACUGGGAGGGUGCAUUCGAAACUGAUGGGCUAGAGUGCAGCAGAGGGAGGUGGAAUUCCCGGUGUAGUGGUGAAAUGCGUAGAUAUCGGGAAGAACACUAGUGGCGAAGGCCGGCCUCCUGGGCUGUAACUGACGCUGAGGUCCGAAGGCGUGGGGAGCAAACAGGAUUAGAUACCCUGGUAGUCCACGCAGUAAACGAUGGAUACUAGGUAUGGGGGAGUAUCGACCCUCUCUGUGCCGAAGCUAACGCUUUAAGUAUCCCGCCUGGGGAGUACGGUCGCAAGACUAAA
rnacentral:rRNA from 1 species